rnacentral:rRNA from 1 species
UACGUAGGGUGCAAGCGUUAAUCGGAAUUACUGGGCGUAAAGCGUGCGCAGGCGGUUUUGUAAGUCUGUCGUGAAGUCCCCGGGCUCAACCUGGGAAUGGCGAUGGAGACUGCAAGGCUAGAGUUUGGCAGAGGGGGGGUAGAAUUCCACGUGUAGCAGUGAAAUGCGUAGAUAUGUGGAGGAACACCGAUGGCGAAGGCAGCCCCCUGGGUCAAAACUGACGCUCAUGCACGAAAGCGUGGGGAGCAAACAGG